GACGGAGGGGGCUGGCGUUGUUGGGAAUUACUGGGCGUAAAGCGCACGUAGGCGGAUCAGAAAGUCAGAGGUGAAAUCCCAGGGCUCAACCUUGGAACUGCCUUUGAAACUCCUGGUCUUGAGGUCGAGAGAGGUGAGUGGAAUUCCGAGUGUAGAGGUGAAAUUCGUAGAUAUUCGGAGGAACACCAGUGGCGAAGGCGGCUCACUGGCUCGAUACUGACGCUGAGGUGCGAAAGCGUGGGGAUCAAACAGG
rnacentral:rRNA from 1 species